UCCCGCAACGAGCGCAACCCCUAUCUUUAAGUUGCCAUCAGUUCGGCUGGGCACUCUAUGGAGACUGCCACCUAAAGUGGAGGAAGUGGGGGAUGACGUCAAGUCAGCAUGGCCCUUACGUCCGGGGCUACACACGUGCUACAAUGGCCGGUCAAAGGGUUGCGAAGCCGUGAGGUGGAGCGAAUCUCAAAAAAGCCGGCCUCAGUUCGGAUUGGAGGCUGCAACUCGCCUCCAUGAAGUCGGAAUCGCUAGUAACCGCAGAUCAGCUACGUUGCGGUGAAUACGUUCCCGGGCCUU
rnacentral:rRNA from 1 species